GGACUACCGGGGUAUCUAAUCCUGUUUGCUCCCCACGCUUUCGCGCCUCAGUGUCAGUUACAGACCAGGAAGCCGCCUUCGCCACUGGUGUUCCUCCAUAUCUCUACGCAUUUCACCGCUACACAUGGAAUUCCACUUCCCUCUUCUGCACUCAAGUUGACCAGUUUCCAAUGACCCUCCACGGUUAAGCCGUGGGCUUUCACAUCAGACUUAAUCAACCACCUGCGCGCUCUUUACGCCCAAUAAUUCCGGAUAACGCUCGCCACCUACGUAUUACCGCGGCUGCUGGCAC
rnacentral:rRNA from 1 species